rnacentral:sRNA from 1 species
GGUCCCAUGGGAUAAUUGUAGUCCCAUGGGACAGAAAAAAAUCCCAUGGGACUAUAAUUAUCCCAUGGGAUU